rnacentral:rRNA from 1 species
UGCAAGUCGAGCGGUAGAGGAGAAGCUUGCUUCUCUUGAGAGCGGCGGACGGGUGAGUAAUGCCUAGGAAUCUGCCUGGUAGUGGGGGAUAACGCUCGGAAACGGACGCUAAUACCGCAUACGUCCUACGGGAGAAAGCAGGGGACCUUCGGGCCUUGCGCUAUCAGAUGAGCCUAGGUCGGAUUAGCUAGUUGGUGAGGUAAUGGCUCACCAAGGCGACGAUCCGUAACUGGUCUGAGAGGAUGAUCAGUCACACUGGAACUGAGACACGGUCCAGACUCCUACGGGAGGCAGCAGUGGGGAAUAUUGGACAAUGGGCGAAAGCCUGAUCCAGCCAUGCCGCGUGUGUGAAGAAGGUCUUCGGAUUGUAAAGCACUUUAAGUUGGGAGGAAGGGCAUUAACCUAAUACGUUAGUGUUUUGACGUUACCGACAGAAUAAGCACCGGCUAACUCUGUGCCAGCAGCCGCGGUAAUACAGAGGGUGCAAGCGUUAAUCGGAAUUACUGGGCGUAAAGCGCGCGUAGGUGGUUUGUUAAGUUGGAUGUGAAAUCCCCGGGCUCAACCUGGGAACUGCAUUCAAAACUGACAAGCUAGAGUAUGGUAGAGGGUGGUGGAAUUUCCUGUGUAGCGGUGAAAUGCGUAGAUAUAGGAAGGAACACCAGUGGCGAAGGCGACCACCUGGACUGAUACUGACACUGAGGUGCGAAAGCGUGGGGAGCAAACAGGAUUAGAUACCCUGGUAGUCCACGCCGUAAACGAUGUCAACUAGCCGUUGGGAGCCUUGAGCUCUUAGUGGCGCAGCUAACGCAUUAAGUUGACCGCCUGGGGAGUACGGCCGCAAGGUUAAAACUCAAAUGAAUUGACGGGGGCCCGCACAAGCGGUGGAGCAUGUGGUUUAAUUU